AAGGAUCAUUACAGAGUUCAUGCCCGAAAGGGUAGACCUCCCACCCUUGUGUAUUAUUACUUUGUUGCUUUGGCGAGCUGCCUUCGGGCCUUGUAUGCUCGCCAGAGAAAACCAAAACUCUUUUUAUUAAUGUCGUCUGAGUACUAUAUAAUAGUUAAAACUUUCAACAACGGAUCUCUUGGUUCUGGCAUCGAUGAAGAACGCAGCGAAAUGCGAUAAGUAAUGUGAAUUGCAGAAUUCAGUGAAUCAUCGAAUCUUUGAACGCACAUUGCGCCCCUUGGUAUUCCGGGGGGCAUGCCUGUUCGAGCGUCAUUUCAACCCUCAAGCUUAGCUUGGUAUUGAGUCUAUGUCAGUAAUGGCAGGCUCUAAAAUCAGUGGCGGCGCCGCUGGGUCCUGAACGUAGUAAUAUCUCUCGUUACAGGUUCUCGGUGUGCUUCUGCCAAAACCCAAAUUUUUCUAUGGUUGACCUCGGAUCAGGUAGGGAUACCCGCUGAACUUAA
rnacentral:rRNA from 1 species